GCAUCCAUGGCUGAAUGGUUAAAGUGCACGACUCAUAAUUGACAAAUUUGUAGAUUCAAUUCUUACUGGAUGCA